rnacentral:rRNA from 1 species
UACAGAGGUCUCAAGCGUUGUUCGGAUUCAUUGGGCGUAAAGGGUGCGUAGGCGGCGCGGUAAGUCGGGUGUGAAAUCUCGGAGCUUAACUCCGAAACUGCAUUCGAUACUGCCGUGCUUGAGGACUGGAGAGGAGACUGGAAUUUACGGUGUAGCGGUGAAAUGCGUAGAUAUCGUGAGGAAGACCAGUUGCGAAAGCGGGUCUCUGGGCAAUACCUGACGCUGAGGCACGAAGGCUAGGGGAGCAAACGGG